UCCGCAGGCGGGCAAUUAAGUCAGAGGUGAAAUCCCACAGCUCAACUGUGGAACUGCCUUUGAUACUGGUUGUCUUGAGUUAUAGUGAAGUAGAUAGAAUAUGUAGUGUAGCGGUGAAAUGCAUAGAUAUUACAUAGAAUACCGAUUGCGAAGGCAGUCUACUAACUAUAUACUGACGCUGAUGGACGAAAGCGUAGGGAGCGAACAGGAUUAGAUACCCUGGUAGUCC
rnacentral:rRNA from 1 species